rnacentral:lncRNA from 1 species
GCUUAGUGGAUUUCAAAUUAACAAGUACAUCAUUCAAAUUUUUGUGCGAAGAAUUGAAUUUGUGUAAAGUGCUCUUAAGACUAUCUACUUCUUCUUUUAAAGAUUUGCAAGAAGAACAACCUUUGUUUGAGCCUUCGGGUUUAUCCAUGCUUCUUUUUCCAUAAAAACGGUUUUCCUCUUUUAAUUUUUCAUUAUCAAAAUUUAAUUUUUCAAUUUCCUUUUCUUUUAAAGAAAUUUGUUUUCUUAAAUCAUUUAAUGUUUUUGAAGCAUUAAUAAACUCAUCAUAAAG